AUUGAAGGAAACAUUAGAAAUGGGCAAGCAUAAACGCAUAAACUUUUUUAAGUUUUAUGGAGCAGCAUCCUGACAUUGCCAAAAAUUAUGUCAAGGGCGACCGAGUGGCAGCGGAGGCUCUUUGGGCAGAAAUAGCCAAAGAAUUAAACAGCCAAGGACCACCACAAAAAGAUAUCAACGGAUGGAAAAAGGUUUGGUCGCACUGGAAGGUCCAAUAGACCGUUGGAAUCCUCCUUCCGCAAGAAAUCUCAACGUGGUUGCUAAUUUCAACUCAACAGGUAUGGACGACAGAUGUAUUCAAGGCUUAAUAUCGUUAACUACAUUCCGAAAGGCCUCUUUGUUCCUGUAGUACGAAAUAAAACUGCAAGACAAUGUUGUGUUUUAAUUUUUAAUAGAACGCCUUGCGCAUGCACUUACACAGGCACUGGAAUAUCCAAAGGAUUGGAGUGGUCUCUUAAAAGUCGUCGCGCAACCUUUUCAUCACUUUUCCAGUUCAUUUGAUUCAAUAAAUAAGCAGAAAGAAUGAAAACGCUCAUUUUAACACAAAUCUUCAACUCAAAAUUAAACAAAUUUUUUCUUUUCAAUGACAAUCAGCUGUUUCGAACUUAACUUCGAACUUCACUGAAAUCGCGUGGAAUUCAGCACACCCCAAACUAAUUCAUGCGAUUUGCAAUUUCGGAAACGGAACGAAAUCGCGUGAUUUCCAGCACAUGCCCGAUAGAAUACAUAUAGAUGGUAGUUGCAGUAUGUAUGUAUCAGCCACAGUGAAGCGUGGACGGGUCCUCUAGUAUGUGAUAUAUAUAAUAAACCCAAAUAACUAGAACUCUAUUAUAAUAUUAUAAAAUUUAUAUCAUAUCGGGUGACUGAAGUACUUUUACAUAGUACUCCUUUCUGCGUU